GCCUUCGUGGUGUGGUGGUCUGCACUCUGGGCGCUUAUUCCAGAGGUCCACGGUUCGAUUCCGGGCGAAGGCG
rnacentral:tRNA from 1 species